CUCAGAUGCAAUUAGAUAGCUCGAAACAAAAACGACGUGUCGCUGUAAAUGGAUUCAGCUUGACCGCGCCUGCUUCACAGACACAAGCAACUAUUUUAGAAUCCAGCGAAAAUGAGAACCAGUGUUGAAAUGAAGGGUAACCAAACCUUGCCACUUUCGUAUUCAAGGAUGAGCAAGAAACUAGACUAGAGAGUUGAGAGAAAUAUGGCAGAAGCUGCGAAACUCCCAAUCAUAGACCUCUCCUCAACCGAUCUCAUAUCCACUGCUAAUUUCAUCCGUCAGGUUUCGUUCUCUUCUUCUUUAUCCUUGAUUAUUUUUGUUUUCUUCUACUUGUACUUCAAUGCUUUACGCUAUUUCAUCUUCUUAGUCAAAUUGAGUGAUGGAAUUAAUCAUUGCAGUGUUGAAUGAUUCAUGAGGUUUUGAUUCUUUUAUUGGAUUUGAUUCUUUUAUUGGAUUUGAAUUGCUUCCCAGGCAUGUGUGGAAUAUGGUUUCUUUUACCUUGUAAAUCAUGGAGUGGAGGAAGAGUUGCUCGCUCGAGUUUUUGAAGAGUCUCGGAAAUUCUUCUCUCUCCCUUUAGCUGCGAAGAUGAAUUUGCUUCGCAAGGAACACAGAGGUUACACCCCAUUGUAUGCUGAGAAUCUCGAUCCUUCUUCCAGUUCUAAAGGUGACUCAAAGGAAAGCUUCUAUAUUGGUCCUUUAGAAAAGAGUUGCCUCAACCAGUGGCCCUCACAAGGGAAUUUCAGAACUUCUCCCUUCUUGGAGACCCACCAUGGAGUCUUACUAUUGCAAAGUUAUGUAAGUUUUGAUCCUCAAUAGUUUUUCUAUUUUUUUUUCACUUUGACUUUGUGUUUAUGAAUGAGUUUGAAGAGUGAAAGUUAAAGAUCUGCUUCACUAUAGGUUCUCUUCUAUUUUGAAUUCAACUAUCAUUUAAUUGGUGCUUUUCCUAUUCUGCAUCCCAUCUCUUCCUAUUCAUUGAAAAGCGCUUUUUCUAUUUAAAAGUUCAAAUUUGGUAUUUAUGCCUUGAUUUUGUAUUGCUGGAUAAUUAUUGACAAAAAAUGAUAUGUUCUGUUGGGGGUGUACCCAGACAAUAAGCUUUGGGUAGAUUAUUCUUUCUGUGGAAUCUUCAUGCAUUUGGAUAACUGGUAUAUUGGAAAAUUUUAGACCAAGGGAAUAGCUAGAUGGUACAGUUUCUCACUUGUGCUAGAUGCUCCCUCAGGUCUGCUGGAAAAAAACUCAUCUCUUUGAUUGCUCUGUCUCUGAACUUGGAUAAGGAUUACUUUGAGAAAAUAGGAGCAUUGGAUGAACCAGAAAGCUUUCUUCGCCUCUUACAUUAUCCAGGUGGCCUUUAUUUGGCUCCUUUAUCUCUCCUUUUCCCUUUUUCAAAAUAAUUCAGCAGCAUCUCUGGAGUAGAUGGAAAGCUGAAGUUGGGAGUAGUGAAUAAUUGUUAGAUAGCAAUCCAAUUUAUUAUAUCAUCCUUUUGCUUUUGUGAAAAUGCUAGAUCUGUGAAAUAACGUUAGACAACAUGCACCUACCUGUGCAGCUGAUUUUUUUUUCUAAGGAGACUAACUUCAUAUUUUAUCUCUUACAAUGAUUAUGUUAAAUAUGGAUCAUCAGUUCAAUCUAAAUUAUGCUAAAAAUUCUGGGUCGGAAGAAGCUCUCUAUCAUUCCAAGGCCCCCUAUCAUUUCCUUUUUCUACCUCUUUAUAGCCUAGAAGCUUCCAAAGAACCAGGCCUAAUUUGUUUGGUGUUAGGACCCAACUAGGAUAUUAAUUCAUCUAUUAAUCCUGUAGAGAACAUUUCUUGGGCUAAAAGACUUCUGAGCCAAUCAUUUUAGAAGAAACUUCUGUCAUCUCAGGUGAACUGGGGCAUUUUGAGGAACAAAUAUUUGGUGCUUCAGCACAUUCAGAUUAUGGAAUGAUCACUCUUCUGGUGACUGAUGGUGUGCCAGGACUUCAGGCAUAUGUCUAUUCUACCUCUGUCUGUCUCUUAGUUUUUUGAUACUUUUCUAUAGCUUCCUUCAUAUCUUCAAGUGCUAAUUCUAGGACCAUCUGAUUUGGUUUUUCAAUGAUAACAGGUUUGUAGGGAGAAAUUCAAGGAUCCACAGACCUGGGAAAAUGUGUUCCAUAUGAAUGGGGCCUUCAUAGUUAACAUUGGGGACAUGAUGGAGAGGUGGACUAAUUGUUUGUUUCGGUAAUAACUGUUCCAUUAAUUUUUUUUCUUCCCUCUGUUGAAAAGUUUUUUAGUUGCUCAUUAAAAGAUAUCACUCAUGUGAAUAAAUACGUUGGGAAAGUUUUGCAAUAGGGUCUUUCUCCUCUCUCUUCUUCUUUAUUUUCCAAAGUUUUGUGUCAAUUAUUUGCAGGUCCACGCUACACAGAGUGAUGCCAACAGGACAAGAACGCUACUCUGUAAUUAUCUUUAUGCUUCUUUAUUUACUUUUUUAUUAUAUUUGGUUAUUCUUCUGGUAGUUUGAACUUCAGCUUAACUAAGCUCGUGACUUCAACCUGUAAGUGUAUCAAGGAUGCUUGAUCCAUACUAAACUAUUCUUAUGGCUAUAGACUUGAUGCACAUACUUUCAUAUUUGGAUGAUAUCACAUAGAUUGAUCAGGAGAGAAUGGAGAAAGUAACUCUAUGAUUUAAUUUGGUGGGUUGGCUGCUAAAAGACUCCUGCUGUAGUAAAUUGUUUGGUUGGCAUGUUUUGACUUAUGGGAAGAUCAAGUUGACUCUGAACUUGUGUUGGUCAAUGAAAAAGCAGCUUUUGAAAACUGCAAAAUAUCAAAAUUUUCAAGUCCCUAAACCUGAAAUUUUUGCAUAUGGAUGUAGGGAUUCAAAGCUGAGUGUAUGUCAUGUAUGCCACACUUUAUUAUUGUUCUAUCAUACAUCACAGGGUUAUAUUCUUCCUUCUGUGUUGGAAUAAUGAAAAUUCUGAAAACAUAAUACAUCAAUAGACAACAAACGUAUGGUUUCAUAUGUGGUGGAACGUGAUGCAUAUGUGUCCUUUAACCAGCACAUUAGAAUGGUUUUCUUCUUGUAGGAUGUUUAAACUUACCGUUCAUUUGUAAUUCAGUUCUCUUUUUCAGAGGAUUUCUGAUGUAUUGUUGAUGGUUUUUGACUUAUAUUGUUGCAGCUGGCAUUCUUCUUAGAUCCUAACACAGAAUGCAUUGUGCAAUGUUUGGGAAGUUGUUGCAGUGAAUCCAGGCCCCAAAGGUUGCUUUGCGCACCAUUUUUGCUGACCUCUUUCAAAAAGCUGGUGUUACUUUAAUGAUUUGAAUUGACUAUGUUAAAAAUCUAUUAAUUCAUCAAGAAUAUACAAGUUAAAACUUUGGAGGUUCAUUUGUCAACGUUUUCUUUACAUUGACAACAGAAUCAAUUAAGAUACUGUUAUGUGGAUAUUAGCUAGCGAUUGAAAAUGGGGAUAACAUCUGUGGGCUAUGUUUGCAGAUUUCCUCCAAUUCGCAGCGGGGAUUAUCUGAAAGAGCGAUUGAUGCUUACUUACGGCUCAUAGAAUUGAGGCAGAGCCCACAAAAAACUGCUAGAAAUGAUCAGAGGUUUCAUACCAUAUCUUUGUAUUCAAAAGUGAAAGUUGCAAACAAGCUAUUGUGGAAUGCUGAAAAUCUGAUACUUCCUACUUGAUGGAUAAUUUGGCGCUCGUAUCGAUUUUCAUUAUGCAUUUUGGUGUUAAUUAUGGCUCAUAAUCACAAUUGCAU
rnacentral:misc_RNA from 1 species